rnacentral:rRNA from 1 species
CGAGCGAGACCUUCGGGUCUAGCGGCGGACGGGUGAGUAACGCGUGGGAAUGUGCCCUUCUCUACGGAAUAGUCCCGGGAAACUGGGUUUAAUACCGUAUACGCCCUUCGGGGGAAAGAUUUAUCGGAGAAGGAUCAGCCCGCGUCUGAUUAGGUAGUUGGUGGGGUAAUGGCCUACCAAGCCUACGAUCAGUAGCUGGUUUUAGAGGAUGAUCAGCCACACUGGGACUGAGACACGGCCCAGACUCCUACGGGAGGCAGCAGUGGGGAAUCUUAGACAAUGGGCGCAAGCCUGAUCUAGCCAUGCCGCGUGAGUGAUGAAGGCCUUAGGGUCGUAAAACUCUUUCGCCAGGGAUGAUAAUGACAGUACC